GGGAAAUGCGGGUGCUUAUACAUGCAGUCGAACGGAGACAUUAUAGCAAUAUGAUGUCUUAGUGGCGAACGGGUGAGUAACGCGUUGGUGACCUGCCCCGAAGUGAGGGAUAACAGUUCGAAAGGACUGCUAAUACCCCAUGUGGUCAUGAGAGUUAGAGGUCUCAUGUCUAAAGGAGUAAUCCGCUUUGGGAGGGGCCUGCGUCCCAUCAGCUAGUUGGUAGGGUAAUGGCCUACCAAGGCUUCGACGGGUAGGGGACCUGAGAGGGUGACCCCCCACACUGGCACUGAAACACGGGCCAGACACCUACGGGUGGCAGCAGUAGGGAAUAUUGCACAAUGGGCGAAAGCCUGAUGCAGCAACGCCGCGUGCGCGAUGAAGGCCUUCGGGUCGUAAAGCGCUUUUCGGGGAGAUGAGGAAGGACAGUAUCCCCGGAAUAAGGCUCGGCUAACUACGUGCCAGCAGCCGCGGUAAAACGUAGGAGCCUAGCGUUAUCCGAAUUUACUGGGCGUAAAGCGCGUGCAGGCGGUUCGGUAAGUUGGAUGUGAAAUCUCCUGGCUCAACUGGGAGAGGUCGUUCAAUACUGUCGGACUCGAGGAUGGUAGAGGGAGGUGGAAUUCCCGGUGUAGUGGUGAAAUGCGUAGAUAUCGGGAGGAAUACCAGUGGCGAAGGCGGCCUCCUGGCCCAUUCCUGACGCUCAGACGCGAAAGCUAGGGGAGCAGACGGGAUUAGAAACCCCGGUAGUCCUAGCCGUAAACGAUGUGGACUUGGCGUUGGUGGGGUAAAAUCCAUCAGUGCCGGAGCUAACGCGGUAAGUCCACCGCCUGGGGACUACGGCCGCAAGGUUAAAACUCAAAGGAAUUGACGGGGCCCCGCACAAGCAGCGGAGCGUGUGGUUUAAUUCGAUGUUACGCGAAGAACCUUACCCGGGUUUGACAUACUGGUGGUAGGGAUCCGAAAGGUGACCGACCCUUCGGGGAGCCAGUACAGUGCUGCAUGGCUGUCGUCAGCUCGUGUCGUGAGAUGUCCCGGUUAAGUCCGGUAACGAGCGCAACCCUCGCCGUAUGUUAUAUGUGUCAUACGGGACUGCUGGUAUAAGCCGAGACGUGGGUAUGACGUCAAGUCAGCAUGCCUUUAUUUUCCGGGCUACACACACGCU
rnacentral:rRNA from 1 species